GUGACUAGCAUAGAAGGCGGAGGAGGUCAUUGGAGCCGGCUUCCCUUCCGCUUUGGCUGCCAAGCUCCGCGCGUUGGUGAGUCCCUCUCUCUAUCCCUCUACAUCUCUCCCUCUCUCUGUCAGAGGGCAGCUACCAACCCCGAGGUGCAGGCGGCCAUGGAAAAGCAGAAGAUGCCACACCUAGCUUUCCCCCUUGCCUCCUGCCCUUUCUCUUCAGCUCAUUUAUUUACAUGUGCAAAUUCUCUUUUAUCUAUGCCUGCAAGGUGUUUGAUGAAAGUUCAGUAAGGCUUUGAGGGAAUACCAAACAAGAGAGGAUCCAGUAUCUGUAACAUGCAUCAGAUAUAGAUUGCCGGCGGGUGGAUAUAUUGCUCAAAAGAUGUCACUAGUGCUGUACUGCUGUAGAUGCCAUUGAUUUCAUAUAUCAAAGCAUUACAGCUCUUUCAGAUCCUUUGUAUUUCCACUUAGUUAGCUUGAAAAUCUUGUCUACUACGGACACCUCUUGAAAAUUGCAAAGGAGUUCUAACUCCCAACAAGCUUAUUUCCUUAAAAAAUGUAACUGGUACAAUGUUCUACGUACCUUAUGAGAGGUCAGCCCCGGCAUCACAGUCCAUUCCUGAAGAAGUUCACAUGCAUGGUGUUGAUUGUUGAGUUUGCUUGGUUAACGGAAUGACAUGCCUAUGCAGAUCAGCAGGGGGAAGGUCCAGGGUGAAACCUUCAGGAGGGAUUUGAUGUUGCUAUUGUUUCAGUUUGCAGAUAGAGGAUGUGAUUCCAGCAAGACAGAGACGAUGGCGAUGACAAGUGAGAUUUAUGUUAAGGAGUAUUAGCAUAUGCUCACAGGAUCACUGGAAGUUUAUAAAUGUAUCCGCAAUGAUUGUUGCUUUCUUAUUGACACAUAAUUGAAUUAUAAUUAUAGACAGUAAGAGUAGUUGUCUUUUCAUUUGUUAGAAAACAUAGUGUACCUUUAUAAUCGUAGUUAUAUGCAAUGAUCCAUCAUGUAUUUUUGUUUAAAACUGCAACCCGUAAUUGUUUGAUGUCA